CUAUACCAGCCAAAUUUCGAAGGGUUUUGAUAUACGGAAAAAUGCUCUCAUGAAACCCCUAUGUUGUCCGGUAUCUUAGGAUCUAUACAAUAAUGAGGUGAGAUGGCAACAGAAGAGGACUCCUCACAAGAACAAGCAGUCUCCUAAGCUAUAUAGAUAUUAAUCUUUGAAUGGAUCAUUAAAAUCAGAUGACUUUAAUCGUUAUAGAAUCUAAAACAGAUUCAAGAUACAUUAAGAAAAGGAUUUUUUAAACAAAAUUCCAAUGCACUUCCUGUCUGUAACUAGAAGAAUGUACUGCACAAAUAAUAUCUUCCUGGUGCUGAGAACAUACUUCUAAGAUACCUAAUCCGGUUUGGGAAUACCUACCUUCAUUUUUAUAAUGUAUAACAUUGGAUGCACAGACCAAUGAAUUCAACAACAUGAAUCAAGCAUGAAGUAUCUAAGUAUUUUGCAAGAUUGAGUGUUAAAGCAAAGCCAUACAGAUGAUCCACUUUUGGAGUAGUUUUCUUGAACGUCGAAAGAUAUAUAAUAUUUGCUAGAAGCGAUUUUGAAAUCUUGUUUUUAGUUCAGAGGAAGUGAGAUUUUAAUAGAAGAGGCUCUUCACAAGUACAAGUCGCCACCUCAGCAAGAAACAGAUGUCAAUCAGACGUUAAUCUUGAAAUGAAUCGUUGAAAAAAAGAUGACUCUAAUUGACAUAGAAUCUACAAUACAUUUUAAGAUACUUUAGAAGAAGGAGUUUUUGUACGAAAUUUUAGCUUACUUUCAGUCUACAAUUAGAAAAAUGUACUUCGUUUAUUAUAUCUUGCUGUUGCUGAAUAGAUAGGUUUAAGGCACUUGGUGAUCAAGUUUUGGAAUACCUACCUUCAUUUUUGUAAUGUAUAACAUUACAUACACAUAGCACUGAUUUCAUCACCAUGUAUCAAUCGUGACAUAUGAUAAUAUUUUGUAAGUUUGCGUGUAAGAGCAAAGCAAUACAAAUGAUCCACUUUAAAAAUAGUUUUCUUGCUAAAAAGCUAUCUAAUACUCUUGUUUAUAGUUCAAAAUGGGGUGAGAUGGUAACAGAAGGGGUCUUUUCACAAAAACUAGCCGUCUCCUAAGUUAGAAAUAGAAGAUAAUUUUUCAGAGGAUUAUAAAGAUAAGUGAUUGUACGUAAUUUUUAUAUCGUAAUCGAUAUAGAAUAUACCAUAGAUUUCCUAUACUUAGAGAGAAUGAUUUUUUUUACACAACAUUUCAAUGCACUUCCUGUCUGCAAGUAGACGAAUGUACUACAUAUAUCAUAUCUUGUAGUAACUGAGUAUGCAUGUAUUUUGCUAGUUUGAGUGUAAGCGAAAAGCCAUACAGAUGGUCAUAUUUGCAAUAAUUUUCUUGAACUUCGAAAAAUAUAUAAAAUUUGCUUAAAGCUA